CCUACGUGCGGCAGCAGUGAGGAAUAUUGGUCAAUGGACGCAACUCUGAACCAGCCAAGUCGCGUGCAGGAAGACGGCUCUAUGAGUUGUAAACUGCUUUUAUACGGGGAUAAAUUCCGUCACGUGUGUCGGAUUGAAGGUAUCGCAUGAAUAAGGAUCGGCUAAUUCCGUGCCAGCAGCCGCGGUAAUACGGAGGCUUCAAGCGUUAUCCGGAUUUAUUGGGUUUAAAGGGUGCGUAGGCCGUCCGAUAAGUGAGAGGUGAAAUCCCGGGGCUCAACCCCGGCACUGCCGCGGAUACUGGGGGGCUAGAGUUUACCUGAGGUAGGCGGAAGUCAUGGUGUAGCGGUGAAAUGCAUAGAGAGCACAAAGAACACCGAUUGCGAAGGCAGCCUACCGAACCACGACUGACGUUGAGGCACGAAGGCGCGGGUAGCGAACAGGAUUAGAUACCCGAGUAGUC
rnacentral:rRNA from 1 species